rnacentral:rRNA from 1 species
CACGUAGGGUGCGAGCGUUGUCCGGAAUUAUUGGGCGUAAAGAGCUCGUAGGCGGUGUGUCGCGUCGGCCGUGAAAACCUGCAGCUUAACUGUGGGCGUGCGGUCGAUACGGGCAUCACUGGAGUUCGGCAGGGGAGACUGGAGUUCCUGGUGUAGCGGUGAAAUGCGCAGAUAUCAGGAGGAACACCGGUGGCGAAGGCGGGUCUCUGGGCCGAUACUGACGCUGAGGAGCGAAAGCGUGGGGAGCGAACAGG